rnacentral:lncRNA from 1 species
UUGAACUGAAAUUUUCGAUUCAGUGUUUUAGGUUGGUCCAUCCCAUUAACCUGUUUUAAUAUCGUGACGGGGGCAAGGGUGAAUGGAUUUUGUCCACAAGUUUUUGUUAAAUUUCUUUUUUUUUUUAAUUUUAAAUUAAAAUUGAACAGUCUAGGGAGGAGGUCAUACCACUAAUCUUUUUUUUAUUAAUAAAAAUUAUAAUAUGAGUAAUAACGUUU